rnacentral:misc_RNA from 1 species
GUAGAUCAAGACUUACCCAGUUCAGCAUUUCUUGAAUCUUGGAAAAAAGAUUCAACCUUUGCAUGUUUUGAGCUUGUGGGGGUGUUUUUUCAGCUCUAAUUUGAGUACCCAGAAUCAAUAUGUACGGUAGGGAUCCAUGGGGUGGACCUUUAGAGAUCCACACAGCUGAUUCAGCUACAGACGAUGACAGGAGCAGGAACUUGCAGGAUUUUG